AAGGAUCAUUAGCGAAACAACGUUUGUCGAGAAGGGUUGUAGCUGGCUGCCUUCGGGGAGCACUUGUGCACGCCUGGAUCGCGCAAAUCCUCUUUACACCUGUGCACAUCCCUGUGUAGCUUCGUGGUGUCGGAUGAAUCUUUGAUUCGGAUGGCGCCCUUGGCUGCAUUUUAUCACACACACUCUUUGUCAAGUAUGAGAAUGUAGAGAAAUAUAUACAACUUUCAGCAACGGAUCUCUUGGCUCUCGCAUCGAUGAAGAACGCAGCGAAAUGCGAUAAGUAAUGUGAAUUGCAGAAUUCAGUGAAUCAUCGAAUCUUUGAACGCACCUUGCGCUCCUUGGUAUUCCGAGGAGCAUGCCUGUUUGAGUGUCAUUGUAAUUCUCAACUGCCUUCGUGGUGAAGUUGGAUUUGGAGGAUCUUGCUGGCGCUCUUUGAUGAGCUUUUGUCGGCCCCUCUUGAAUGCAUGAGCCCCUCAACGCUGUGAAGCGGCUCCGACGUGAUAAUUAAUCUACGUUGGGCCCGUCGCAUCUGCUUUGGGGCGCGCACGGAUCGGAUUGGGUGCACAUUUGACAAUUUGACCUCAAAUCAGGUAGGACUACCCGCUGAACUUAA
rnacentral:rRNA from 1 species